CCCCUAGUUUCGUCUCUUCAGCCAUGUCUUUCUUGGUGACCCAAAACCAUCUGAAGCGCAACCCCGAUCUCCCCCUAAAAUCAUAUCUUUUCUACAAUAGAUACCUUGGUGGUGAAAAUUGUUUCAGCUGGGUCCAUGUCCUCAGAUGGGGUCUUUAGCACUAAUGGCACCUCCUCAACUGGAUCCAUGAUGAGCUCGGCCCAA
rnacentral:lncRNA from 1 species